rnacentral:rRNA from 1 species
UACGUAGGGUGCGAGCGUUGUCCGGAAUUAUUGGGCGUAAAGGGCUCGUAGGCGGUGUGUCGCGUCGGCCGUGAAAACCUGGGGCUCAACUCUGGGCGUGCGGUCGAUACGGGCAUCACUUGAGUUCGGCAGGGGAGACUGGAAUUCCUGGUGUAGCGGUGAAAUGCGCAGAUAUCAGGAGGAACACCGGUGGCGAAGGCGGGUCUCUGGGCCGAUACUGACGCUGAGACGCGAAAGCGUGGGGAGCAAACAGG